rnacentral:tRNA from 1 species
CGGGGUGUAGUUCAGCCUGGUAGAACGCCUGCUUUGGGAGCAGGAGGUCGUGAGUUCGAAUCUCGCCGCCCCGA